UCACUGUGGGCAUGGCUUUUAAGACCUUCAUCCUAGCUGCCUGGAAGUGAGUAUUCUGCUAUUAACCUUCAGAUGAAGAUGUAGAGCUCUCAGCUCCUCCUGCACCAUGCCUGCCUAGAUGCUGCCAUGCUCCCACCUUGAUGAUAAUGGACUGAACCUCUGAACCUGGCGGGCCAACAAGCUGAGCCCCAGAAGAGAUGAUGCUCCGUUUUCAGUCCAAAGGUUUCAAGGGAGCCUCUGUCGCAGAUGGUACUCAGACUACUGAAGGACUCUCUUGCUUAGAGGAGGCUGGUGCUUUUUCUCUCUCCUGGAUUUCAACUGAAGGCUGGGACCCACCCACACCCACAAGGGCAAUCUAUUUACUCAAAAUCCACUGAUAAAAAUGUCAGUCUCCCUGGGAGGUUGACCCCCUUUAAUCCUAAUAGGCAGAUCUCUUGAGUUGGAGGCCAACUGUGCCCCCACAGAGGGAGUUCCAGGACAAACCCUGUCUCGAAAAGAUUAAAAUAAAAAAAUGAAAUGUUACUCAAGUUAAUAAAAAAAAUUAAAAAAAAACCAAUAAAAUAACCAAAAUAAUAAUAAUAAAAAAAUGAAAUGUCAAUCUCA